UUUCCGUAGGUGAACCGGCGGAAGGAUCAUUCAUAAUAAAGUGUUUUAUGGCACUUUUUAAAAACCCAUAUCCACCUUGUGUGCAAUGUUAGAUCUCGUCAAUCUUGGCGAGAUUUUUAUACAUCAACUCAUUCUUUAACUAAUUUGUCUGAAAAAUAUUAUGAAUACUUAAUUCAAAAUACAACUUUCAACAACGGAUCUCUUGGCUCUC
rnacentral:misc_RNA from 1 species